CGCCGAUGUCACUCAUUGGCUCCGCUCUGCCUUCCGCCGAUCUGUCAGACCGUUGCAGACGCGCUGCCUCCCCCUCGCCAAGCUCUCAUGUUGCCGAUUCUGACUGAAAAUAUAGACACCGCUGAACAAUAACUCAAAAGUUAUCGCAGCCGGUCACGGAGGGGCAUGAGAGCCUUGUGCGAGGCCAGUGCCGUUGCUUGCCGGACCCAGUGCUGGUGACUGGGACAUGGGCCUCUUCCUCAGGGCUUCCAGUACGACCCAGCUCAACACAAGCCAGAGCCUCAGCCACCAGCUUGUCCAGCACCAUCCAGACACCCACGGCAGCAGCAGCACCUCGAGUGACCCUGCCUCAGAGGGCUUCACCCUUCUCUCCGGCGCCACCACCCCACGGCAGGCCCAGCACCCAGCAACGCAGCCGGAGACUAGUGCCACUAUGAGAGGUCUGGAGACUGAGGAGAGCCACAACGCCAGUGCCACACCGACACCAGCGGGGGGAGAAGAGCCAAGCCCAACCAAGACAGAUUGCAGGAAGCAGGCAGAGACCCAGCCACAGGCCCAACCUCAGACCCAGCUCCAACCACAGAGGUCAGAUGAGAGCUGCUGUCAAGAGAAGAAGGAAACUCAGCAGCAAUCAUCGGAACAGACAGGAAAAAGGCCCAAGUCUAACUCAAAGUUAAAGUUAGUUCGAAGCCUGGCUGUUUGCGAAGAGUCUUCUCCUCCUAUUGCCACUGAUCUGCCUCGAGAACAUCAGGAGAAAAUUGAGAUCCAGCUCACCCAGUCGUUUGACAAAGAGGAGGAGGCGUCAUCGCCCAUCAAGAAUGAAGUGGACCAAGAUAAAGGAGUGGAGAAGCUGCUGGAGAAGACUGAAAGGAUGCCCAGGAAGAUGCUGUCCAGAGAUUCCAGUCAAGAAUACACCGACUCUACCGGGAUCGAUGUCCAUGAGUUCUUAGUAAACACGCUGAAAAACAACCCCAGGGACAGAAUGAUGCUUCUGAAGUUGGAACAGGACAUUCUUGACUUUAUCAGUAAUAACGAAAGCCAGAAUAGAAAGUUCCCUCCGAUGACCUCCUACCACAGAAUGCUGCUGCACCGCGUUGCAGCCUACUUCGGCCUAGACCACAACGUCGACCAAACCGGGAAAUCUGUAAUCAUCAACAAAACUAGCAAUACGAGAAUACCUGAUCAGAAGUUUUCAGAACACAUCAAAGAUGACAAAACUGACGACUUCCAAAAGCGGUAUAUUCUCAAAAGGGACAACUCCGGCUCAGACAAAGAUGACAAUAUGAUGCGGAUGAGACUGAAGGAAGACAGGAGGAGUAAGUCUAUAGAGGAACGAGAGGAGGAGUACCAGAGGGCCAGAGAUAGGAUAUUCGCUCAAGAAGGUCCAGAUGGCUUUCCUCUUGAAAAAAGAAUACAGGAGGAUGAUGCCUGUAACAGCACACAGCAAAGACGGCAAAUCUUUAGGUUAAAAGAUGUCCGCUCGGCCAACAGUUGCCAGAGCAGCUCUGAGAACGAGCCCAAGAACUCUGAACCCCGGCCGUGGAGCAGCACUGACUCGGAAGGCUCAAACCGUAACCUGAGGCCAGCCAUGACCAAAGCAAGCAGCUUCAGCGGCAUCUCUGUCCUCAUCAGGGGAGACAGCUCAGGCAGCAGCAAGAGCAUGGGUCGCCUCUCUAAGACUGGUUCUGAGUCUUCGAGUAGUGUAGGGUCCUCCACGGGUUCGCUCUCUCGCGCCCAGCAAACCCACCCUGUCCCGGCUCUAACCAAGGCUGGCUACCCCCACAACCACUCUGCGCUUCCCUGCCCAGCGGCCUACCCAGCUGUCUGCGCUAGUAGUACUGUGGUCUAUGAGGCGGGAGGCAGGAGCGCGGCACCGCCAGCAAACACAGCUAACACUAGCUACUAUUUGCUUCCUCUGGAAGCCACAGGGAUACCGCCAGGGAGUGUCCUGGUCAACCCACACACAGGACAGCCAUUUGUGAACCCGGAUGGAAGUGCUGUGGUGUACAACCCCAACCACGGCAUGGCCCCUCAGCAUCAUAAUCAGCAGGGCAGGACCCAGCAGCCCAUGCCCACUCCUCCGCACUUGCCUGGCCAGCACCAGCCCACCAAUCAUAACCACGUCCUCGCACAGCCGGUCCGGCCCCUCCAGCCCUCUGCUCAGCCUGUCCACUACUCGUCUGUCUCUUACCCAUCUCAGCUCCUCUCCGUCUCCCCUGACCAACUAUACACUGUGCAAGAGAACCUGGGAGCCCAGUUCAGCCACAUGAGUCUGUCCCGGCAGGGCUCCGGGGAGGGCCUCUCCUCCGUGGUGCUCCAGGCCCCCCCCGCAGCAGCAGGGCUUCAUGGUGCCUCCCCCAGGCCAGCCUGUCCCUGCCCCCCCAGGCCUACAACACCCCCGCCCCUCCACCUGUCAACCAGCCACUCAUGCAGCAACAAGGUUACAUGCAGCAGAUGCCAGCGUGCUACUGUGGGCCAGGCCAGUACCCCCUGUCUAACCAGGGGUACAGGCCUGCGGGCACAGUGCAGUAUAGUGCCCUGCAGAGCCAGCCAAUGCCCCCCCCCACACAACAGACAGGUUACCAAACUGUGAUGCUCAAUCAUCCACAGAGCUAUCAGAGUAUGAUAGUAGUGCCACAGAGUCACAACCCGGUCAGUGGCCAGCAGAACCCAGUCAGUGGCCAGCAGAACCCAGUCAGUGGCCAGCAGAACCCGGUCAGUGGCCAGCAUAGCAAUAUGGGACAUCAGAUGCAAGGCAUGAUGGUCCAGUAUCCCUCUAUGUCAUCUUAUCAGGUAUCCAUGCAGCCCCAAGGCUCCCAGGUUGUACCACAGCAAACAUAUCAGCAGCCUAUCGUCAUCCACAACCAGUCCAACCAGAGGCCCAUGCCUGGCUCUGGUGUCCAGGUUUACUACAGUGUUAUCACACCCAAUCAACAGAGCUCCUCUGCAGAGUUCCUGCCUCCUUCCGGAUCAGAGCAGAUGCUGUUCCCUCGGCCGUCCUCCCCCUGCAGCUCCCAGCAGCCCCUCCAUCAGACACAUCAGUGCUCAGGUGGUGGAAUGGUGAUGAUGCAGCUGAUGUUGUCCCCUGGCCAGCAGCCGAGGCCUCACACGCCCUCGCAGUGGAAACACAGCAAGUACUACAGUCUGGAUCACACCAGAGGACAGAAGUCCACAGAGCUCUCAGUCAUAGACACCUCACAGAGCAGUCCCCAGCUGGGCAGUCCCUCUACCUCCCCCGCCCAGUCGCCAACCCCCUCCCACCUGACCAAUGUGAAGAGCAUCCGUCCUGGCCUCACCCCCAUACCCAUGAUGCCACAGUUCUCCAGACCCUUCAUGCCAGGGCAAGGAGAUGCUCGGUACCCAUUGCUAGGGCAACCCCUCCAGUACAACCCCCAGAGCCGUCCUCCUCUCCUCCACUUUCCCCCCAUGGCCCCCAACCAUCAGGUACCUACAGGGAUACGGCACAGCGGUGGAGGAGGCAGAGGGAGGAAGCAGCCGAGGAAAGCUCUGUCUACAGAUCUCAGUGUAGGUCAACCAGUGAGUGGGCGGGUCCUGGAGGUGACUGAGCUGCCGGAGGGGAUCAGCCGGACCGAGGCGGACUCUCUGCUAGGUGAGCUCUCCAGAGUCAGGGCCGUGGUCUGAUGGCUCAGAGAGCACCACUACCAUCACAGCCGCGUUGUCUGGCAGUCAAUGGCUAACGGUGACCACCACCACGAUAAACCCCCACGGUCAAACCCCUGUCAACCCAGCCUCCACCUAAUCCCUCCUGGUCACGUUCCCCUCCAGGUACGCUGUGCAGGAUGCCCUCCUGAACCACAACGGCCCCUGAUCCUCCAUCAGACUUACCACGAGCAGGUGCCAUGGCCGAGGUUACGGCAACAGACACUCCCCGAUAGGGCCAGCUCCCAGUAGAGGGCGUUAAGGACCCCUGGCUCGCCUUUUAAACCCUGACCCCUCACCAGCACCGCCAGUCACUUCCUGUUGCCAUCACUCCCCCCGGCCGCCCCUCCUUUCCCUCCUCCCUCUUCACUCACUACGUUGGCUUGAUGUAAAGGGUUGUUUUUCCACUUGAUUUGUAGAGACUUGGUUGGGGGGAAAUGUGUUGUACUUCGUAAUGUUCUUACUAGCGGUUUGACGAAAAAGAACAAAAUGUAACUGAACUGACGUGAACGAAUAUCCAAAAACCACGAUUAUUGAAGUUCCAAAUAUUAAUAACCUGUCUGCUCUCUGUUUUGAGAACAGGCCGGAACACAUCAAAAGCCUGUAUUUUUGUUUCAUUUUAUUUGUUCAUUUGUUUUAUAGUUGUUGAAAUCUUGAGUCAGGCCCAAAGCUCAGCUCUCUCAUUAUUACUCACCCAGCCCAGUUGCCGUGUCUGGCCUGGUUCAGUUUAACUCAACCAAAGCUUCCCCACAUCCCCAGGGUAGCUGACUAUCGGCCAGCCUGCCACCAGCCACUUGCCCCAUAUUGUGGCCGGUACAUGAUGAAGUUGGCCUCGGCUACACAAUGGGUCUCUAGUUGUGCCUUUCUCGCCAAAGUCUACUGCUUUAUUCUCCAAGAAACGCAACAUGAAGUCACCCCCUGUCAGAGUCUAUUGUUAAAUGAAAAGACCUGCACCUUGUAAAUAAUUUAUAUAGUAGCUAAAUAAUUCAAUCAGUUCUCUAUUACACAGUGAACGUUCUGUAUGUGUGUUGUUCACAGGCAGGCACAGAUGAGAGCAACGGGAAAAAAGGCUCGUUUGAAACCCCUGGUUUUUAACUUCAUUUAAAAUGACACUCCUCCACCGCAACGGCAUAUUUUAGCAAUCAUCUGCUUGGAUGGCCUCUCUCGCUCUCUCUCGCCCGCUCUCUCUCUCGCCCGCUCUCUCUCUCGCCCGCUCUCUCUCUCGCCCGCUCUCUCUCUCGCCCGCUCUCUCUCUCUCGCCCGCUCUCUCUCUCUCGCCCGCUCU